UCAUGCCCCUUAUGACCUGGGCUACACACGUGCUACAAUGGAUAGAACAAAGGGCAGCGAAGCCGCGAGGUGAAGCCAAUCCCAUAAAUCUAUUCUCAGUUCGGAUUGCAGGCUGCAACUCGCCUGCAUGAAGCCGGAAUCGCUAGUAAUCGCGGAUCAGCAUGCCGCGGUGAAUACGUUCCCGGGCCUUGUACACACCGCCCGUCACACCACGAGAGUUUGUAACACCCGAAGUCGGUGGGGUAACCUUUUGGAGCCAGCCGCCUAAGGUGGGACAGAUGAUUGGGGUGAAGUCGUAACAAGGUAGCCGUAUCGGAAGGUGCGGCUGGAUCACCUCCUUU
rnacentral:ncRNA from 1 species